GCGUGAGCCACCGCUCCUGGCCCCGCAUUCCUUUUACUAUAAUGCCUGUUUCCUUUUUGUUUUAGGCAAACACUUAUCUGAUCUUCAAAACCCUGAGGUCCUGUUCUCAAUGUUGAGCUCCACUCCUCAGGCUUGAAGACCAAAGUUAUGCUUUGCAAGUUGGCAUUGUCUAACUAAGAGUCAAGGCCUCCCCUGCUUCUUCCUUCGAACCGAGAUCUCAAGGAUUACUGCAGACCAGGAAUUACAAAUGGAUAGCUGGAGGUGGUAGCCUUGUCCUGUCAUCCCAGCUGGAAUACAGUGGCACAAUCACAACUCACUGCAGCCUUGAUCUCCUGGGUUCGAGUGAUCCUCCUGCCUCAGCCUCCUGAGUAGCUGGGACUACAAGGGUGUACCACCAUGUCUGCCUAAUUUUUUUUUUUUUGGCAGAGAUAGGGUCUCACUAUGUUGCCCAGGCUGGUCUCGAACUUCUUGGUUCAAGUGGUCCUCCCACCCCAGCCUCCCAAAGUGCUGGGAUUACAGGCGUGGGCCACUGAGCCUGUCCAGGAAUGACUGUUAAUCACCAUUUUACGGAUGGGGUAAGGGAGACAGAGAAGCUAAGUUGCUCAAGGUCGCACAGUGGCAAAGCCUAGUAUUCCAGCCCACUCAUCACAUCCAUUCUAAAGUAGGGGCUGUCACUAUCAUCAUCAUCAUCAUCACCACCACCAUCACCAUCAUCUUUAUCACCACCACUACCACAAUCAUCACCAUAGCCACCAUCAUUCUCAUUGUUACCAUCAUGAUUAUUGUAAUCAUCAUCAUCUAACUUUCCUCAUCAGCCUCCACCAUAAUCACCAUCACCAUCAUCAUCACCAUAAUCACCCUCAUCAUUAUCAUCAUCAACCUCAUCAUAUCCUAAUCUUCAUGAUCAGUGCCAUCACCUUCAUUAGCAGCAUCACCAUUAUCACCAUCUUCUUCCUCCUCCUCGGCAUCAGGACCACACCAGCAUCUUCACGACCACCAGCAUCAUCCUCACAAUCAUCAUUACACGAGGAAACUAUAGUUCAGAGUGACUAAGUCACUAGCCUAAGUCACACGCUAGUGAUGGUG